rnacentral:rRNA from 1 species
AAAGUGUAAAGGCAUAAACAUGCUUGACUGUUAGACUUAUAAGUCGCGCAGGUACGCAAGUAGGACUUAGUGAUCCGGUGGUUCUAAAUGGAUAGGCCAUCGCUCAAGAAAUAAAAGUUUCGAUUUAGCGUGACCAUGUGUAUACAUUACACAGUGAAUAGUUUGAAUUACGGAAAAACCUAAACAUAGGUCAUCCGUAGGUUCUAUUGUAUAAAGCAUAUGGAACUUCAGAGACUAAGUAAGCUAUGUGAUUUUAAAUCAUAAUGAUAUAGUCCAACUAGAUAUGAGAAUAUCUGAAGCAGUAAUAUACUGUGAUAAUACAAAUGACGCUAGGGAUAACAGGCUGAUACCGCACGAGAGUUCAUAUUGUCUGCGGUGUUUGGCACCUCGAU